rnacentral:rRNA from 1 species
UACGGAGGGAGCUAGCGUUGUUCGGAAUUACUGGGCGUAAAGCGCGCGUAGGCGGCUUUUCAAGUCAGAGGUGAAAGCCUGGAGCUCAACUCCAGAAUUGCCUUUGAAACUGUUAAGCUGGAGUGUCGGAGGGGAUAGCGGAAUUGCUAAUGUAGAGGUGAAAUUCGUAGAUAUUAGCAGGAACACCGGUGGCGAAGGCGGCUAUCUGGACGACAACUGACGCUGAGGCGCGAAAGCGUGGGGAUCAAACAGG